rnacentral:sRNA from 1 species
GGCACUCUAUGAGACGGGCCCCGUUGGCCGUC